rnacentral:rRNA from 1 species
GAUGAACGCUGGCGGCGUGCCUAAUACAUGCAAGUCGAGCGAACGGACGAGAAGCUUGCUUCUCUGAUGUUAGCGGCGGACGGGUGAGUAACACGUGGAUAACCUACCUAUAAGACUGGGAUAACUUCGGGAAACCGGAGCUAAUACCGGAUGAUAUUUUGAACCGCAUGGAUCAAAAGUGAAAGACGGUCUUGCUGUCACUUAUAGAUGGAUCCGCGCUGCAUUAGCUAGUUGGUAAGGUAACGGCUUACCAAGGCAACGAUGCAUAGCCGACCUGAGAGGGUGAUCGGCCACACUGGAACUGAGACACGGUCCAGACUCCUACGGGAGGCAGCAGUAGGGAAUCUUCCGCAAUGGGCGAAAGCCUGACGGAGCAACGCCGCGUGAGUGAUGAAGGUCUUCGGAUCGUAAAACUCUGUUAUUAGGGAAGAACAUAUGUGUAAGUAACUGUGCACAUCUUGACGGUACCUAAUCAGAAAGCCACGGCUAACUACGUGCCAGCAGCCGCGGUAAUACGUAGGUGGCAAGCGUUAUCCGGAAUUAUUGGGCGUAAAGCGCGCGUAGGCGGUUUUUUAAGUCUGAUGUGAAAGCCCACGGCUCAACCGUGGAGGGUCAUUGGAAACUGGAAAACUUGAGUGCAGAAGAGGAAAGUGGAAUUCCAUGUGUAGCGGUGAAAUGCGCAGAGAUAUGGAGGAACACCAGUGGCGAAGGCGACUUUCUGGUCUGUAACUGACGCUGAUGUGCGAAAGCGUGGGGAUCAAACAGGAUUAGAUACCCUGGUAGUCCACGCCGUAAACGAUGAGUGCUAAGUGUUAGGGGGUUUCCGCCCCUUAGUGCUGCAGCUAACGCAUUAAGCACUCCGCCUGGGGAGUACGACCGCAAGGUUA